AACGAACGCUGGCGGCAGGCCUAACACAUGCAAGUCGAGCGAAGCCUUCGGGCUUAGCGGCGGACGGGUGAGUAACGCGUGGGAACGUGCCCUUUGCUACGGAAUAGCCCCGGGAAACUGGGAGUAAUACCGUAUGUGCCCUUCGGGGGAAAGAUUUAUCGGCAAAGGAUCGGCCCGCGUUGGAUUAGGUAGUUGGUGGGGUAAUGGCCUACCAAGCCGACGAUCCAUAGCUGGUUUGAGAGGAUGAUCAGCCACACUGGGACUGAGACACGGCCCAGACUCCUACGGGAGGCAGCAGUGGGGAAUCUUAGGCAAUGGGGGAAACCCUGAUCUAGCCAUGCCGCGUGAUCGAUGAAGGCCUUAGGGUUGUAAAGAUCUUUCAGUGGGGAAGAUAAUGACUGUACCCACAGAAGAAGCCCCGGCUAACUACGUGCCAGCAGCCGCCGUAAAAC
rnacentral:rRNA from 1 species